rnacentral:rRNA from 1 species
GAUGAACGCUGGCGGCGUGCCUAAUACAUGCAAGUCGAACGCAUUGUGGUUGAAAUGAUAUGAAGAACUUGUUCAGAUUUGAUUUUCAACAUUGCAAUGAGUGGCGAACGGGUGAGUAACACGUGGGAAACCUACCUCUUAGCAGGGGAUAACAUUUGGAAACAAAUGCUAAUACCGUAUAAUAAUUAAAACCGCAUGGUUUUAGUUUAAAAGAUGGUCUUGCUAUCACUAAGAGAUGGUCCCGCGGUGUAUUAGUUAGUUGGUGAGGUAAUGGCUCACCAAGACAAUGAUACAUAGCCGAGUUGAGAGACUGACCGGCCACAAUGGGACUGAGACACGGCCCAUACUCCUACGGGAGCAGCAGUAGGGAAUCUUCCACAAUGGACGAAAGUCUGAUGGAGCAACGCCGCGUGUGUGAUGAAGGGUUUCGGCUCGUAAAACACUGUUGUAAGAGAAGAAUGACAUUGAGAGUAACUGUUCAAUGUGUGACGGUAUU